CAAGUCGAACGGGCGUAGCAAUACGUCAGUGGCAGACGGGUGAGUAACGCGUGGGAACAUACCUCUUGGUUCGGAACAACACAGGGAAACUUGUGCUAAUACCGGAUAAGCCCUUACGGGGAAAGAUUUAUCGCCGAGAGAUUGGCCCGCGUCUGAUUAGCUAGUUGGUGGGGUAAAGGCCUACCAAGGCGACGAUCAGUAGCUGGUCUGAGAGGAUGAUCAGCCACAUUGGGACUGAGACACGGCCCAAACUCCUACGGGAGGCAGCAGUGGGGAAUAUUGGACAAUGGGCGCAAGCCUGAUCCAGCCAUGCCGCGUGAGUGAUGAAGGCCCUAGGGUUGUAAAGCUCUUUUGUACGGGAAGAUAAUGACGGUACCGUAAGAAUAAGCCCCGGCUAACUUCGUGCCAGCAGCCGCGGUAAUACGAAGGGGGCUAGCGUUGCUCGGAAUCACUGGGCGUAAAGGGUGCGUAGGCGGGUUUUUAAGUCAGAGGUGAAAUCCUGGAGCUCAACUCCAGAACUGCCUUUGAUACUGAAAGUCUUGAGUAUGGGAGAGGUGAGUGGAACUGCGAGUGUAGAGGUGAAAUUCGUAGAUAUUCGCAAGAACACCAGUGGCGAAGGCGGCUCACUGGCCCAUAACUGACGCUGAGGCACGAAAGCGUGGGGGAGCAAACAGGAUUAGAUACCCUGGUAGUCCACGCCGUAAACGAUGAAUGCCAGCCG
rnacentral:rRNA from 1 species